rnacentral:SRP_RNA from 1 species
GGCGGGAAGGCAGCAGCGGCAGCUAGAUUACGAAAGUGCC